rnacentral:sRNA from 1 species
AAUAAAAAUACUUAAACAAAGGCCAAGGAAAUACUAUUUUGUGAAAAAUGAUCCAAUAAACUAGGCCUGGGCAAAAAAACCGCUAACCGAUUAACCGAACCGAACCGAACCGAAAAACAUGGUCCGGUUUGGGUUUGGAUAGCUUAAAAUAACUGGCUGGAUAUUAUAUGUCUUAGAUUUCGGUUUCGGUUUCGGUUAGGUUCGUAACCGAUAACCAAAGGAUAACCAAAGCAUAUAUGUAUGAUAGAUAAUAUAUCACAUAUAUUGUAUGUAUUAACACUUAACUAUGUUUUUCUCUUUAUUAGUUUGCAAGUUGAAUUUCGUGAGUUGUGAAUAAGGUGUUUUAAUAUUAUGGAGAGUAUGGACCAUCUUUGUGAGUUGUGAAUAUUUCUUUUUUUUACGUACGUUCUAUAUCGGUAUUGGUCAAAAAUUUUGGUUGUUUUGGUUUUUAGUCGGUUAUUUCGGUUUUAGUUUAUUUAUGGUUACCAAGUUUAAUAUCCAAACCGAACCGAACCGAAAGAUAUCCGAACCGAACCAAAAUUCUUCAAAUAUCCAAAUGGUUCUUAUAUUACUAUAACCGAAAUAACCGAAACCAUGCGCAACCGAAGCGAAACCGAAUGGUUAACCGAAUGCCUACAAUAAACAUUGUUCAUGACACCUUUUUUAUUUGCUUUUCUGUGUGUUUUACGAAUUUUAGUAUGAAGAAUUCAUUUCCAUUUUUGCUCUUUUUGGCUCAUAAUUAAUAACGAAGAACAUAAGAUUGAACA